rnacentral:rRNA from 1 species
UACGAAGGGGGCUAGCGUUGCUCGGAAUCAUUGGGCGUAAAGGGCGCGUAGGCGGCUUUGUAAGUCGGGGGGUGAAAGCCUGUGGCUCAACCACAGAAUUGCCUUCGAUACUGCAUGGCUUGAGACCGGAAGAGGUAAGUGGAACUGCGAGUGUAGAGGUGAAAUUCGUAGAUAUUCGCAAGAACACCAGUGGCGAAGGUGGCUUACUGGUCCGGUUCUGACGCUGAGGCGCGAAAGCUAGGGGAGCAAACGGG